CGUAAGUGGAAGACUUCAGCAACAUUAAGGAACCAGGACAAACCAAGUGAAUGUAUCUCAGAUCUUGAGAUACAUCUACAGAUUUCGAAGAAUGUCAAGCACCAUCAGGCAAUUCUUAGGUCCGCCGCCUUGCUAGAGGAAGCAAUGAGUACAGCAAUCUUCGUUCUGUUCCUGGCCUUGAUCAUCGGGAUAUGCACUGACAUCUUCACUGCUACAGUGUUUUUACAGACUGCCGGAGGCGAGACAAGAGCGCUGAAGUCAAUUCUCACAAUACCAGCCCUCCUAUAUAACAUCGGAAUGUAUUGCAUCUUUGGCCAGAUGGUAAAUGACCAG